rnacentral:pre_miRNA from 1 species
UUAAAUCAUAUUUGUAUGGAGUUGGAACGAUUGACUACGUUUGCCGCUAGGGGCGCUGUUCCAAUUGCAUACGAGUUUUAUUUG